AGCUCAUGGCACUGAGCGAGGCCAGGGAUUGAACACGCAACCUCAUGGUUCCUCAUUGGAUUUACACACGACAGGAACUCCAAAGAUGAAAUAAUCUUAGACUUAGGGUUGGCCCUGAAUCCAUGACUAGUGCCUUUAUAAGACAAAGGAGAGAGAGAUUAGACAGACUUGUACAGAGAGAAAAAAGUCACAUGACUAUGAAGGCAGAAGUUGGAACAGUGUAUGGACAAGCCAAGGAACAUCAAGAAACUAGGAGGGGGCUAUGGAAUAGUUUCUUCUCCAGGAGGAACCGACCCUACUGACACCUUUAUUUUGAAGUCCUGGCCUCCUGCACAGUGAGAGAAUAAAUUUCUGUUGUUUUAACCCCAUCUGUAGUAUUUUGUUAUGGCAGCCCUAGGAAAUGAAUACACUUAAAAAUGUCUUAAAUAAAAUAUACAUGGUGUAUGAAACCUGUUAUUUCAUAGCUUUACUAUUUAGACUGGUAUUCCCUCAUCAAUUUAGGUAGUGAAAAAGUGCAUUGAUGAAACAAACCUUACGUUAACAAUCCUGUGGGAGGUAGGAAGAUACGGUAAAACUCAUGUGGGUGCCAUGUGGAGGGGGGGCCCGUGUGGGAGGUGUUGCUGUUUGCAACCCACAGGCUCCUUCCACCUGGAGUGACCCUGAGUGAACUCUCAUCUCCACCCCUUAGUCAAAUCUGUGGCUUGGGUAAAAUACAGAUAAUGGCCUGGACAAGCCCCAUCUUCCUCGGCAGUAAAAUGGGGACAGUGAUCAAUAUUCCGCAGACCUUCUCUGGGGAUUGUGGGGUCCUUGUCUUUGCCUUGAAAUGCCAGAAGCUUCGUUAUCUGAACCCGUUUUGCUGAGUGUGGGGGUGAGGGUCUCCUGGCGGCUGGGUGGAUGUACAAAAUAACUUUUUCUAAUCAGUGCCCCCCACAUGUGAGUUGUGGGGAUAAAUUUAGAGGGAGCUGUGGUAAAGCAGUAGGAACUGAUGCAAAUAGCCCUUGAUGAGUCAUAGCUGAAGACAGCCUUCUGUUAUUUCUGGGCCUUCCGAUGCAUUUUAUGAGUUGUGAGGGCCUCUGUCUCCCUCUUUUCAGUCCUAUCAUCUUGGAGUUCAUACAGGUGAGGAAAAGAAUCUAGACACAGUCUGACUUAUCUUGGACGUAGGAACAUGUAUUUGAGAAAGUUUAGAGAAGUUUUGUGAAUUUGAUGUGGAUGCCUGGAAAUACUCUAGAAUUGUUUCCUAAGCAGACUUAGGAUCAGCAAGUUGACCUGGAGUGGGAAUAGCAACACUAACCUCUAUUAUGUCCUAGCCAAUGGAUAGGCACCGUGUUAAAUGCUAUCUCAUUUAAUCAGCCCUGAAAUCUCUGAGGUGGGCAUUGCUAUUAAAAUUCGAAUUUUAGAGAUGGGGAGACUGAGGCAUGGAGACGUUGAGUAACUUGGCACAGAUCAUUAAGAGAUUAAGUAACUUUCUCCAGUUCAUCAAACAAGACGGUCUGCCCGGAGAGCUUGCCCUCUUAAUAACCUCUUUAUUAUACCGUGUGAAGACUUGAAAAAAUGUGGAAAUACAGGAAGGGGAAGGAUGCCUUUAAAGGGUGCAAGAGAAAGAACAUGGUCUUUGAAGUCAGGAAAAUCUUAUUGCAACUCUGCAAAUAUUUCACCUCAGGCAAGUUACUUAAACUCUAUGCACCUCAGAUUUCCCAUCUGUAAAAUGGACGCAAUAAUAUAUACAUCAUAGCAUUCUCGUAAGGAUUAAAUAAGAUCUAUUCAGUGCAACGUGGAAUGCAGUGCAUGGGAAAUAGCCUGCAUUGUACCAGUAUUUCUUCUGCAGUAACUUACUUACUCCUUACAACAACCCUUUGAAGUGGAUAUUUUUGUCAUCAUUCCUGUUUUACAGGUGAGAAAAUUAAGAUUUAAACACAUGAAGUAACUUUCCCAACAUAACCUAGUCAGCUCACGGCAGAACAAGAACUCAAACUUAGGAAGUCUGAUUCCACAGCACAAAACUCUCAUCUGCUUUUACUCGCUUCCUUUCCCAGGUGAAAACAACUUGGGAGUGAGGGUGAAAUACAAGCUUGAGAAGACUCUGCAAGCAUAGUAGCUGGGGAAGAAGCUGGUUCAUACUUAGGGCAUAUUCAGACAAAAAUAGGUCCAGCGAAGAUGAUAUAGUCUGUGCUGUUCAGAGUGCCUCUGAAGUAGUAUGUUCAAGUUUGGAUACUAUUUUUUAACAGGUGAGACUCCAUCUCUGUGUUCCCCAGACUCCAGAGAACAGAGAUCAAAUCACCUGUGGGAGGCGCAAUAAUGCCCCUGCUGAGGUGCACACCUUAUGCUCUGGAACCUGUAAGUUACCUCGCAUGGCAAAGAGGACUUUGAAAAUGUGACUGAGGUUAUGGACCUUAAGAUGGAGCAAUUAUCCUGGAUUGCCUGGGGGGGUGGCUCUAAUCCUCUAACCAGAUGAGUCCUUCAAAGUGGAAAAUCUAUGCCAGGUGGAGUCAAGAGAGAGAGAGGUGACUACAGAGGAAGGGUCAGAGACAUGUGACAUGAGGACGCUGCUCACCAUUGCUGGCUUGAAGAUGGAGGAAGAGGACCACAAGCCAAGGAAUGCAGGGACCUCUAGAAGCUGGGAAUGGCCCUCACAAGAGGAUGGGGACCGAACUACAGCUACAAGGAGCUGAAUUGUGCAAGCAGCCUAAGUGAGCGGGAAAUGAAUUAUCUCCUAGAGCCUCUGAAAAAUGAACUCAGCUUGCUAGCACCUUGAUUUUAGCUGGGUGAGACACUUACUGGUCUCCUGCUGCACAGACUGUGAGGCAGUAAAUUUACAUUGUCUUAAG